rnacentral:RNase_P_RNA from 1 species
GAUGGCAGAUGAUCGCUGGUGAGCCACAGUGGCUUGCUGGAGGAAAGUCCGAACACCAUACGGCGACAUGCCGCGUAAAAUACGCGGGUGCUGCAGUUGUAAAAUUGCGGCGACGGAAAGUGUCACAGAAAAGACACCGCCGGUUCUUUGGCAACAAAGGCACAGGCAAGGUUGAAAAGGCGAGGUAAGAGCUCACCGCUCGCGGAGCAAUUCGCGAGGCAGGAAAAACCCCAUGCGGUGCAAGACAAAACAGAGGGAGGGCAGCCGGCCCGUUGAUCCUCGGGUAUCGUCGCAUCACGAUGCGCGCAAGCGUGUCGGGCGUUCAGCUCUGCGAAAAUCGGAACUGGAUGAGAUAAAUGAUCGUCGCGGCUGAGAGAUCAGCCGACAGAAUUCGGCUUACCGCCAUCAAAA